UACAUCGGAACGUGCCUAGUAGUGGGGGAUAACUACUCGAAAGAGUGGCUAAUACCGCAUGAGAUCUAUGGAUGAAAGCAGGGGACCUUCGGGCCUUGUGCUACUGGAGCGGCCGAUGGCAGAUUAGGUAGUUGAUGGGAUAAAAGCUUACCAAGCCGACGAUCUGUAGCUGGUCUGAGAGGACGAUCAGCCACACUGGGACUGAGACACGGCCCAG
rnacentral:rRNA from 1 species